GCCGCUGCCGGAGCCACGCCCUUCCCGCUGCCAUCACCAGGCCGUGCCCCUUCCACAUCUUUGACGUUGACCCUCGUAGAGUGACCCCUGCGACUCCAGCAGGCACACCGAGAUGAUCCCAGAUGGCCUCCCUCCUGGACCCUCCUUAAUGCCACCCAACGGCCAAGUCCUUUGGACCACGGGAGGAGGGCGUGGACCCCGGGUGAGAAACAGCUGGCUGUGUCCUGCAGUCCUGGGGGGAGCCAGGGCCUCCUGUGUGCUGGGCCAGUUCUCCGCCUGGGACCGCCAGCCCGUCCUUUUCACUUUGAAACAGGGGUCAGCUAGUUGUGCAGGCUGGCCUCGAAUACAGUCCCCUGCGUCAGUCUUCUGAGUCCUUCUUUUUUCCUGGGUGACAUGAGUGUCCCCACUUACACAUUCUUCCCUAACAUCCUUGUUGAGGGCUGCGUAUGUUGCAUGCGUCUGUUUCUUCUCCCGUUGACAAGCAUUUACCGAUGGCUUCCUGUGUGCCGGGCACCAGGCUGGGUGGAGGGUACACACUGAGUGGGGCCACGCAGCUCCUCCCUCCCGGAGCUUGCUGCCCUCCAGGGGCCAAACAGAAGGCCCCCAGGGAAAGCACAGGCUCUAGGGCAGGGGUCCGCACAGCCAGAGAAGGCCACAGCUGAACUGCGCAGAGCGGGGAGGCUGGCGCUGACCGGGAAGGACGCGGCUCCGGGGAAGCCUCAAGUUCCGUGGCUCCUGGCAGAAGGUGGAGGCAAGAAUUCUCCUCUUGAUCCGUUAAGACAGCAUUGGAAAGUCAGGAAGCUCUUGAGGCCGCUGUGAUAGGGAGGCCGAGGAAGAGCAGCUCAGCUCGCGCCUGCGGAGCCCCUGCGCGUGCUGCUAGGAAGGUCCAGUGGACGGCCACUCUGGAGAGACAGGUCCUUCCUGAGGUGCAGCGCGGAGUCACUGUGUGGCUGUGGCCCAGCCGCGCCCCGGCUCAGCAUCUGCCUGAGGAACUGCAGUGCCCUGCGUGGGGAAUGGAGGGACAAGAGUGUUUCUUCCCACAGGACACAGAGAGCCACAGCGAGCCGGCGCACGAGGUGGCUGUGUGUUUGUCUGUCUGUCUGUUUGAGGGUCCUGCUCCGUUGCCCAGGCCGGCUUUGAACUCGGUCCCCCUAGGCAGCUUGGCACUACAGGCCGGCCACCGCCCUGGGCUGGAAACCACUCCUUUUGUACAGGGAUAGUCGCAGAGGCGGUCAGCGGCCGAGGCCUCUCCGGAUGCUCCUGGGCUCAGGGCCGUCCUGUUUGCUGAGCGGUUUGCCUCCCUGCUCCCUCUGUGAGUGCUCAGUAAACACGGUUCACAGGCAGCAGGUCCCGGUGGGGGGCAGGUGGGCUUCCAGCUGGGGGGACCUCCCUGGGGGAGGAGCGUCCCUGUCCCUCCCGGGCCUGGCCCACCGGGCUCACCCAGCUGCCAACCAUCAAAACACAGAGACAUCCCUCAAAAUGGCUUCUGGGGCCUGGGUCGCUAGUGCUCCGCAGGCACGCGCCCUGGCUCCCACCCCAGGCCCGCCCGCGCCGGCUUCCUGGGCUGGGAACCUCGGGUGCAGCCCACCCACCGUGUGUGUGUGUGGGGGGGGCUUCAGCGUCAGCCCCUGCCGGCGGCGGGGUGGUGGCCUGGGGAGGCCGUGGGCGCACGGAGAGCUCCGUCUUCCCACCAGGUGUCAGCAGGCUCCCUCCUCAGCAUCCCGCCUCCCGCCUCCGCCCCUCCCCGCGGCUCUCGGGUCCCAGACCUCCGCCCGCCACAGCCAGGCACUUCCCCCCCAGAGGCCCUUCAUGUCCCCCAGAGGCAGGGUCAGCGGGCUGUUCCACCUGGUGUCCACUGUCCCCGGAGCCUGGGGGAUGGGGGAAGAAAGCCAAGGGAGGGAGCGCACAGACCCCCUUUGGUGGCUGAGAAGGACGUGCCAGGAACCACAGACCUGGGUGCUGAGAGCCGCUGUAGGGAAGAGUCCUUUUGUCACUUGGUCAGCCCCCACCCCCACCCCCUGAAGCCAGCACUCGGGCCUCAGCAGCGGCCUCCUCCUUCCGGCCCAAGGAGAUCCCGGCGGGGAGAAGGAAUUUUAACUUGGUCCAGGAGACAGACAGGGCAAGUGACUUGUCCAAGGUCACACAGCUUACAAAUAGCAGAACCAGGAUCCAAGGACCGAUGUCCCGGCUCUGAGUCUGUGAUUCAAACUGGACUAAGUUCAAGGUGACCGAAAAGAUAACGCGGACUCUGAGCAGCCAUGAGGAGGCCAGCCCCGGACCGAUGAGCGGAGGUGGCCCAGUGGUGAGCGCUGCCCAGCGGGACCUGCCUUCGCUCCCCGCGGCGGCCAGACCCGUGGGAGCAGACACCUAUGGAAACUGCUAGAAUCAAGUGGAGACGCUGCUGGGGAUGCAGUUUCCUGGCCUCGGUGACGUCCUGGACGUUGCAGAAACCAGCCGUGGUUUCAGAGCCACGACCUGCUACAGGGGGCUCAGCCGGGGAUCAGUGGACUCCGUGGCUCCGGGCCUGAGGUGAGACGGCACCCACAGUCUCCAGAAGCCACACAGAGGAGAGCGGCCAGCUCAGGGCAGUGGGGCAGCCCAGAGAGAAGCUGGGGACCAGACCCAGUCCCGGAGGGCACACCUGCCCCGCCCUUCCUCCAGCCGCGCCGCCCGCCCGGGCUCCCACGGCCUCCAGGAGCCCACUCAGCCACGCGUGGCCAACCCGCUGCUGAGGUGGAGCCUCCGGAUGUGACUCCUCGGUGCCCACCUCCUCCCCCCCCAGCAGCCCCGGAGCUCCUGCCAGGAGCCAGUGCGCGCCCACCUUCCCGCAGCACCACGGGCACCCGCGGUGGCAUGGCAGGCCGGGUUUCCUCAGUGUCCACGGGCACUGCAGCAAGGCUGCCUCAGGAGGGCGGCUGUGGGCCCCGGCCACGCGGAGGUCUGCUCAGCCCAGCGCCCUCCCCGAUGGUCACAGCUCCGCUGUCCCCUGUCCUUCUUCCGCGUGUUGCUGGGGCAGAACCCAGCGCCCUGCCCAUGCCGGGCACACCCCUAGCCCCAGGCCAGGUGGCUCAUGGGAGGGUCCCUGGGGACCACUGGGGGACAUCUGCGGACAUUGCGGCUGUCAGAACUGGACGCAGGCAGGAUGUGCCACAAGCACCCAUCUAGUGGGCAGAGGCCCGGGUAGUGAUCAAGAGCCUGGAGUGUACAGGGGGUCCCCACCACAGUGAAGGACCCGCUCUCAGAUGUCCACUGUGCCGAGGCUGAGAAACCCCAACCUGGAUGUCACAUAAGGCAGAGGGACUCGGGAAGACCAAUGGCCGCUCCUCCUGGUGUCCCACCACAGCUCCCCUGGGGCCAUCUGAGUGGGGUGGACUCGACUGCACCGCUCAGACCCAUGCCUUGCUGGGCACCUGACCCCCACGUGGGCAAGACACAACUUGCUGCAGGGAGACAGUCGCCACUUGAGAGGGUGUGUCCCCGUGAUCCGUGCUCAGUCCCUCCUGUGCCUUAGUUCAUCAGUCCUCACAGCCACCCUGAGGGAGCAGGAUGCUCUUCGCGCCCAUUUCACUGGUGAGAAAACCAGCCUCCCAGCAGGAGCGUCCACGUGGAGCCCAAAGACAAGCCCAGUUCUCUGCAGGGCAGAGCUCACGCCACUGUCACUUUACCCCAGUGAGUCUCCGCUGGGGCCGCUGUGCCCUCUGUUCCCCGACGGGACGGGCAGCUGGCGUGGGUGCCACACUGUAGGGUGCAUGGGACGGAUGGUGGGUGCUGCCGGCCUGGAGGGGUGGAGGCCAGGGACACUGCUCAGCACCCUGCGGUGCCAGAACACCGCCCCAGAGAGUAACUUGGCCCCAGGGCCCCCAGGGCUGAGGGAGGGAGUCGCCUGGGAAGCCAUUAUCUCAAGAUCUACCGCCUCGCCCUCUGGACGGGAAGGAAAGGGCCCCUGUGGGGGGCUUGAAGGGGCUUCCUGCCGGGUUCCUCACCCGCCCACAGGUCAGGAGGAGGCCAGCUGGGUCCUGCCAGGACCUGACCCAGCACCCUGAACAGUCCCAGCCUCAUCACUGUCCCCAACCGUGAAUUCUGGGGCACCGUGAGCAGACAGCCAGCUUCCCUGGAGAGGAGGUGGCCCGGGAGAAGGGGGAGUGCCUGCAAAAGCAGGGGACACAGGCUCCUGUGACAGAAAAGGACCUCAGCACCUGGGGAUUGGGUAGAAGCAGGGAGGAUGCGGCCAUCUCCAGGGGAGAGGUCCCCAGAGGCCCUUCUGACCAAGCCUGGCUCCCCGGCGCUCCUCAGGGUCCCCUCUGCCCGGGUCCCACCCACCUCGGGAGACCCAGGGCUCGAACGCGAGGCUGAAGCCGGAUCUGGGGCAGCCGCGGGCCGGCUGGACGCCCCGACCUGGGGACACCACCCUGACCGCUCCCUGGACGGCAAACUGAGCGGGGGCGGGGCGGGGGGGGUGUCGUGCUCGGUCCUCCCUUGCCCAGGCUGGGGGAAGGGGCGCUCUCGAGCCAGGGGACCCGGUGGCAGGUGGGGGCGGGGAGACAAAGCCGCCCGGGGCGCUGUUCCGAGCGGCCUCGCUGUCUCCGGCGGAAUUAGACCAAAUUGCCGCAGCGGCCCUGAGGCUCGGCGCCCGCAUUGUCUGGGAUGGAGCUGGGCAGCGCGGGAGGGGCCUCCUGCCGGGAGCCCGGGGAGCCAGGCGGAGGCGGCCGCGCAGCCCGCCCACCGCUGGCCGCUGUCGGAUCUGGGCUCAGGGGCCAGGGCGGUGGGGAGGGAGGACGCGUGGGCAGGGGGCCAUCGGGGGCCAGCGGAAAGGGCAGAGCUCUGUCUCCCCAGGCGCCCCCCGCCCCCAGGCCUGGUUAGGAUGAUGGGGAGCCGCGCACACGCCCGCGGCCAGGGUCAGCCCCUGGGUCUCUGUCUUCACUGCCCCUGGGGUCCACUCCCAGAGGAGGGACUGUGGGGGCCCUCCCCGCCAGGCUGGUCCCAGGACCCUCGCUGGGGAUUCCCCCAUCCCGGGUGCCCUCCCUCCGCCCCUCUCUGGCCCACCCCAGCUCUGGAGGCCCCUGCUCCCCAGUCCCAGAGUCUCCCUCCCUUGUCCACUCCCUCCCCUCGCUGACCCUCCCAGGGACUCAUCCCUGGUCCGAAGCCCGCUGCCCCUAGAGUUCCCUCCUGGGGGCUUCUCCAGGUCCUCCCCACCUGCGCCCCUCCCCUGGGCUGGACCUGCUGGGGAGGCGCGGAUUCUCCCCAUCUAGGUUUUGGGGUGUCCUGGGGAGAAGGGCUACUCUCCAUCCCUGCUUCUCAGGGUCAGAGGGCAGGGUCACAGCGCUGGGGAGGGCGGGGUGGGUCUCAGGGUGAGAUGAGGCAGCGCACCCCGGGGUGCUGUGUCCCCCGCCCCAGUGUGAGCAGCCAUUGCUGCCAUGGCGACCCGCUCCGCUGCGGCUCCCACUCCCUCGGAGCUGAGCGCACGCGCACAGGCACUCACGCACUCAGGCACACACAGCCCCUGCACACAGCACCCUGCGGGAGACCAGGCUGCAGGGCAGAGAUGGCGUGCACAGGGCUGGGGUCUAGGUGAGAGGAGAGAUGGGAGAGGGGAGCGAGCCUCCUCAUCCCCUGCCCUUCCGCCUCUGUCUCCUGAGUAUUCCGGUUGGGAGUUCUGAGGGGGUCCUCAGGCAUCCAUUGGGUCCCUGGGGAGGCGGCUCACCCUGCAGGAGCUGGGGGAGGAACCCCAACCAGAGCCCAGAAAGCCCAAGUGGGGGGGCAGGGCUCCCACCGCCUUUGAUGCCACUGGCCACAGUGACAUGAAGACCUUCCCCACCUCCUGAAGGUCCCCACUUCCCGAAUGCACCACCCUGGGGUCCAGUCUUGAACACGCGGCCGCUGGCGCUCAGGUCAGACACCCACAGUCAGGGUCACCGGGAAGCACCCACAGGUGCCCACCCCAGGGCGCAUCCCUGCGGCUGUGCCUCGCGCUCUGCAGUCUGUGAGCAGCACCCACGCAGCAGCCCGGCCGCCUGCCUGAGUGCUUCCUUCCUCCUCCCUGACUGUCCACCCCUGACAGUCCCUUCCCUGAGUCCCUGGCCCUGGGCCCCGGGGACACCGGAGCUUCAGAGCAUCAGGUGAAGGUCAGGCAGACAGAGCUUGGAGGGGGGAGGUGUUUGCCAGGAACCAGGGUGUCAGCAGCCCCAGGAGCAGGAGAGGCAGGGCCAGCCGCCAGCCCAGGGGAGGAGCCCUCUCACUUCACUGGGGCAUUUCCUGGUUGCUAAACUGCAGAACUGGUGGUGGGCUUGGGCUUGUGUUUGUGUUUGUUUUUGUUUUUAAUAUCUCUAUUUAAGGCUGGGACUGUGGCUCAGUGGUAGAGCGCUCACCUAGCACCAGCGGGACCUGGGUUCGAUCCUCAG